AUUAUGAAUAGGAUAUCUACUACUUACAGUGUUGGUUGCAGUGUGAAAAUCUGCAAGAUAGGCAGGUUGUCGGUGAGGACGAGCUGAUCUUCUUGGAAAUUGAGGUGAAAUGCUUCUUGGAGAUGCAGGCGGUGAUAAUUCUAAUGGAGGUGCAAUGUUGGAUGCAGGAGCAGAGGCACUAUUUGUUGGAAGAUCAUAGGAUAAUGAGGUUGGUGGAAGGACAAUAUU
rnacentral:lncRNA from 1 species